rnacentral:lncRNA from 1 species
AACUGUGCCUCUUGGAGCAGAUCAAUGAUGAUUGCUCUAUCUGUAAAUAACAAACAGGGGUUUUUCAAUGGUACCAUUUCACGACCCGAAGGCAAUCAAGAGCUGCUGAAUUCGUGGAUCCGUAACAACAACAUGGUUACUUCAUAGAUCCUCAACUCAGUGUCUAAAGAGAUUUCAGCCAGUCUACUUUAUUCUGAAUCGACGUAUGAGAUGUGGAUAGAUUUGAAGGAGCGUUAUCAGCAGAGGAAUGGUCCACGAAUUUUUUAGUUGAAACGAGAGCUGAUGAACCUUACACAAGGAGAUUCAUCUGUGAGUACUUCACCAGAUUGAAGACAAUUUGGGAAGAACUCAGCAAUUACAGACCUACUUGCUCUUGCGGUAAAUGUGACUGUGGGGGAAGAAAGAAAAUUAUUAAACAUCACCAAACAGAGUUUGUUAUGUCCUUUUCAAUGGGACUACAUGAAUCAUUUGCUCACACUAGGGGGCAAAUACUGUUAACGGAUCCAAUUCCAUUGAUCAAUAAAGUGUUUACGUUGGUGUCUCAAGAAGAGAAUCAAAGGAAAGUAAGCAUGGUGAAUGAUGCAGCAGGAUCCAUGGCCUUUUAUGUUCAAAAUAAUCCAAAAAUGAUGAUCCAAAAUGAUGUUAAAAAGACUACAAGACAACAGUACAAUAGAAUUCAAAAGAAGGAGAGACCAAUCUGUACAUAUUGUUGGUAUAGUGGUCAUGCGGUAGAUAAAUGCUACAAGCUCCAUGGCUAUCUACCGAGGUACAAACCUAGACAGAAAUCUAGUCCAAACAAUCAAGCUGUGGUUAAUCAGAUUUCUAAACGUGUUGCUAAGAUGGACCAGAAUAUAGAUCAGAAGCAAGACAUUGAUGGAAGUGUUGGUAACUUUAUGCAGACACUCAACCCCACUCAAUACCAACAUCUGAUGAGCAUGUUGAGCUCUCACCUUAAGGCUGCAAAACUAGACUCAGAGACAAGAACUAGUUCCGGGAAAGAAUCAGGUGCCUACUUCUCAAUAUCUAUUAAUCCAUCCUUCAAAUCAUCUAGACAUUGGGUGGUAGAUUCAGGCGCCACGAGUUACAUAUGUUAUGACCAUUCAGCUUUUGACAUGUUGAGGCUAAUUGAAAAUGCGUUUGUUACGCUACCAAACGAUGUCCAAGUUCCUGUACGAUCAAUUGGAAAUGUGAAAAUUUCGUCUAACUUAAUACUCACUGAUGUCCUAUAUGUUCCU